rnacentral:tRNA from 1 species
GGGGUUGUAGCUCAGUGGUAGAGCACUUACCUGGCAAAUAUCGGGCACUGGGUUCAAUCCUCAGCACCA